rnacentral:rRNA from 1 species
AGAGUUUGAUCCUGGCUCAGAUUGAACGCUGGCGGCAGGCUUAACACAUGCAAGUCGAGCGGUAACAGAGAGUAGCUUGCUACUUUGCUGACGAGCGGCGGACGGGUGAGUAACGCGUGGAUAACGUGCCCUUUUGUGGGGGACAACCAAGGGAAACUUUGGCUAAUACCGCAUAAGCUCUUCGGAGGAAAGGUUGCCUCUCUACGAUGCAAUCGCGAAAGGAGCGGUCCGCGUCCCAUCAGCUUGUUGGUGGGGUAACGGCCUACCAAGGCUACGACGGGUAGCUGGUCUGAGAGGAUGAUCAGCCACACUGGCACUGAGAUACGGGCCAGACUCCUACGGGAGGCAGCAGUGAGGAAUAUUGCGCAAUGGGCGAAAGCCUGACGCAGCGACGCCGCGUGGGGGAUGAAGUUUUCGGAUUGUAAACCCCUUUUGUGAGGAAAGAGAAAGUGGGUAACCACUUAGACGGUACCUCAAGAAAAAGCCACGGCUA